rnacentral:rRNA from 1 species
UGGGGAAUAUUGCACAAUGGGCGCAAGCCUGAUGCAGCCAUGCCGCGUGUAUGAAGAAGGCCUUCGGGUUGUAAAGUACUUUCAGCGGGGAGGAAGGCGAUGCGGUUAAUAACCGCGUCGAUUGACGUUACCCGCAGAAGAAGCACCGGCUAACUCCGUGCCAGCAGCCGCGGUAAUACGGAGGGUGCAAGCGUUAAUUGGAAUUACUGGGCGUAAAGCGCACGCAGGCGGUCUGUCAAGUCGGAUGUGAAAUCCCCGGGCUCAACCUGGGAACUGCAUCCGAAACUGGCAGGCUUGAGUCUCGUAGAGGGGGGUAGAAUUCCAGGUGUAGCGGUGAAAUGCGUAGAGAUCUGGAGGAAUACCGGUGGCGAAGGCGGCCUCCUGGACGAAGACUGACGCUCAGGUGCGAAAGCGUGGGGAGCAAACA